GACGAACCGUGCGAACGUUAUUCGGAAUCACUGGGCUUAAAGCGCGUGUAGGCGGGACGGCACGUCGGUCGCUGAAAUCCCCCGGCUCAACCGGGGAACGGGCGCCGAUACGACCGUCCUGGAGGGACGUAGGGGGACCUGGAACUUCCGGUGGAGCGGUGAAAUGCGUUGAGAUCGGAAGGAACGCCCGUGGCGAAAGCGAGGUCCUGGACGUCUGCUGACGCUGAGACGCGAAAGCCAGGGGAGCGAACGGG
rnacentral:rRNA from 1 species